UACGUAGGGUCCGAGCGUUGUCCGGAAUUACUGGGCGUAAAGAGCUCGUAGGUGGUUUGUCGCGUUGUUCGUGAAAACUCACAGCUUAACUGAGGAAGUGCGCCCGAAACUGGCAGACUUGAGUGCUGGAGAGGAGAGCGGAACACCCGGUGUAGAGGUGAAAUUCGUAGAUAUCGGGUAGAACACCAGUGGCGAAGGCGGCUCUCUGGACAGACACUGACGCUGAGACGCGAAAGCGUGGGGAGCAAACAGG
rnacentral:rRNA from 1 species